rnacentral:lncRNA from 1 species
GGCAGAGCGGGAAGCUCCGCCCCUCGCGGAACCCCGGCCUGUGCGCAGUUCCCGUGCCCUAGGAGUUGGCGGCGGGGCCCAGCCGAGAAUCUUCUUCCCUUCUGGUCUGACUAGGAAAGCCAGAGGGAGAUGGUGAAGGAGACACAGAGAGAGUAAAAGAACAGACCAUGCCCAGCCUCUCCACUGCAGGAGCUUGGAAUCAGAUGGCGGCAUGCAAAGCUCUAAGGUGCAACAGCUGGGGAGCCAAGCUGAAACCUCUCUUCCCUGUCUCAGCAUCUGGAGUCUUCAUGGAAGUGAGAAGUUUGCAGGUUUGCAGCUGCAGCCCUUUCAUGACAAGUUCGAUUUUUCCUAAAUAACUUCAUGCUUGUGUGGUAUAUCCUUUCAUGCUUUCCCUGGUGACCAAAGCUCUCAUGCCAUUUACCUUGCUCCAGUGAAGCAGAGUUGCCAGCCAUCUAUGGAUCCUAACUAAAUUGGUCCUUGUAAUACUCGGUAUUAUUUGCCAAGAUAUUGAAAAACCUCUAAACAGUGAGAAGCUCCCAGCCCCUUUUCUGUGUCUCUCAUCACCAGCUGCUGUGCCCUGAGGACACCCAGGCAGCCUAAGGAGAGGCCCACAGGUGAGAAACUGCAUGUGUGAGCUGAGCUUGGAAGUGGAUCUUCUAUGUUUUGCCAACAGCCACGUGACUAGUUUUGGAAGCAGAUUCUCCAGCCCCAGCUGCACCUGUGCCAGAGGCACCCAUUAAGCCGCACCUAGUUAAAUUCCUGACCCACAAAGACUUUGAAAUCAUAAAUGUUUGUUGUUUUAAGCUGCUAAGUUUUGAAGUAAUCUGCCAUGUAGCAACAUGAAACUACUUGGACCAAAUAUGUGUUUUUCUAAGCACAGGAAUAUUCACACUUUAUUAAACUUGAGUAUUCCAACAAUAGGAUGGAAGUCCAAGUUUUAUUUCUUUGCUGGGACCCUCACAUGCAUGUAUCACAUAUGUAUCAUUAAAAAAUGAAGGACA